GGGCUUGUAGCUCAGUUGGUAGAGCACUGCAUUUGCAAUGCAGGGGUCAGGGGUUCGAAUCCCCUCAAGUCCA
rnacentral:tRNA from 1 species